CAUGUAUAGGAGUAGCUACAAGCUUGAUUGGUAGGCAACGUCAGUGCAUGGGGGAAGUAGUCGUCACACCCGAACCCGAGUGAUCUUUCCCUCUUCCAAGCAAGGGAAAAAGGGGGGAAUCGAUAUGUUUCACAUGCAUUUCUCUGUAAAUUAAUUAGGUGUUUCUGAAAGCUUCACAAAAUCCAAAAAAUUCUCUAUAUAUCUGGCCUACGGCAGAAACCAAAAAUCAGUCGAAAGGAUUCAUCCGGAGUUGGCAACUUUUUUUUUUUUGCCUUUCCCAUUCCAGUUCUCGGAUUUGGAAACCCGAAAAAACUGACUACAGCGGCGGAUGCCUACAAUCCUCCGGCGGGUGGACCUCGACCGCCGUGCACACGCCGUCGAGGGAUGAGGCGGAGAGCUCACCCAAGCAUCUCCACCUCCAACGACGACGCUUCCUCCGACGAGACGUCGUCCGUGGAUUCGGUGCGCCACCCCGUAUCGUCGGGCCGACCGCUUGAGCGACCCCGCCCUCCUGCAAUCUUAAUUGCUCACGCUUAAAUCGGAAUGACUCCUCGUUCUUUCACUGCAUGGUGGGCCCCAUUUGCUCCCUGCCUCCAUUUCUCCUCCACUCCGCUUGGCGUUAAUUUUUUUUUGUUUAUACCUCGUAAGUUAAGAUUCUCAAAUGGAAAUGAUAAAUAACUCUAGAGAUUUGGUUUGCUUGGCUCCACGACACGUCGUGAGGAUCGCUCCCAUGUUCCUGGCCUUUCUCAGCUUCCUUGAAUGCCUCUCUUUGCCACGGUGGCGACAAGGUCCCCGUACAUUUGACCUCCAUGCCUCGGCCCUCGGCCCGACGGCAAGAGGUUCGAGGAGAUGUUGAGGUCGAGCUUACUGUUCUCAAUAUUAUUUUGGUCUGCAAUUUUGCUUGCUGACAAAUGAACAAGUAUAGAUUGGAAAGUGACAAUGACAUUUUUCUGAAAGCGCGAAUAUACCUAGUUUCCCCCGAAAGAAAAGAAAAAGUAAAAAAGAACCAGAUUCUCUUCUGCACGGUGAAGGCACCGCCAGGUGGGU
rnacentral:lncRNA from 1 species